AAACUGCGAUAAGUAGUGUGAAUUGCAUUUAGUGAAUCAUCGAAUCUUUGAACGCACCCUGCACUCACUGGUAUUCCGGUGAGUACGCCUGUUUCAGUAUCAUUGAAAACACACAAUCAAAACAUUUUCUUUGGUUUGAUUGGCUUUGGGUCUAUCAAAAAGUUUGGCUUGUUUCUUACAAGCCAAGCGGCCUGAAAUAUAUUGUCUGGCUAAUUGCAUCGUUGAUGAUCGCUAUUAGACUUUGGCUUUUUUAAAUGAACUGGAGGUUGAUUAACCAGUUUUAGCUUUAGUCAAAUGGUCAUUGUAAAAAAAAUCUCGAUCUUGGCUAGGUGUUUAUAGCCGAAAAUUUUUUUUUGGCUAUAACCGAAACCAAUAUAAUCACAUUUAGUUAUCGAUCUGAAAUCAGGUGGGACUACCCACUGAACUUAAGC
rnacentral:misc_RNA from 1 species